GGCCUGGCUGGUCGGUCCGCCUAACCGCGUGCACUGAUUCGGCCGGGUCUUUCCUUCUGGCUAACCCCAUGCCCUUCACUGGGUGUGGCGGGGAUCCAGGACUUUUACUUUGAAAAAAUUAGAGUGUUUAAAGCAGGCGAAACAGCUUGAAUACAUUAGCAUGGAAUAAUAAAAGAGGAC
rnacentral:rRNA from 1 species